rnacentral:rRNA from 1 species
UAACAUAGUUAUGCUCUUUCUUUUUUUAUAUUUGCUUCAUAUAAUUUAUAUUAAGAAAGAUUGUUUUUUAUUAGGAUAAGAUUUGUUGACAAUAUAGAAUAACUAUGUUAA